rnacentral:rRNA from 1 species
AUAUAUUGUAACACCCACGAUGCGGCUAUAUCUCCCACAUGUCGGAGCACGACUUAGAGGCAUAACUGCAUGGUAGGCAUGUCGCAAGGGGUAAUCUUUACACAUCCCAUGUACUGAAUAAGAAAGGGAUAAAGAGUUGGCUUACAAUCGCCACUUCACACAAUACAAUAUAACUUACAUCAUCUAGAAUAUAAACAAGGUCCGACCACGGAACCAAAAUAAAAGAAGACAACCACAAAUGCUAGAUCCCCGAUCGUCCCAACUGGGCUCCACUACUAGUGGACAGGAAACGAAAACAACACAACGAUCACGAUUUCACUGAGCUCCCUCUUGAGCUCAGUUGUAUCACCUGCACUAGUAUCAUCGGCGCCUGCAACUUUUUGGAAGUAUCUGUGAGUCACGAGGACUCAGCAAUCUCACACUUGCGAGAUCAAGACUAUUUAAGCUUAUGGGUAGGACAGGGUAGUGAGAUGGAGCUGCAACAAACACUAAGCAUAUAUGGUGGCUAACAUACGCAAAUAAGAGUGAGAAGAGAAGCAAAGCAACGGUCGUGAACUAGAAGUGAUCAAGAAGUGAUCCUAAAACUACUUACGUUCAAGCAUAACACAAGAACCGUGUUCACUUCCCGGACUCCGCCGAAAAGAGACCAUCACGGCUACACACGUGGUUGAUGCAUUUUAAUUAAGUUAAGUGUCAAGUUCUCUACAACUGGACAUUAACAAAUUCCCAUCUUCCCAUAACCGUGGGCACGACUUUCGAAAGUUCAUAACUGUGUAGGGGUGUCCCAACUUAGCCCAUGACAAGAUCUCACUGUCAACGAAGGAUAUUCCUUCUCCCGGGAAGACCCGAUUAGACUCAGAAUCCCGGUUACAAGACAUUUUGACAAUGGAAAAACAAGACCAACAAGACCACCCGACUGUGCCGACUAAUCCUGAUAGGAGCUGCACAUAUCUCGUUCUCAGGGUACACCGGAUGAGCAAUCUGUACAACUAAAACCAAACCUCAAGUUUCCCCGAGGUGGCGCUGCAAGGGGCUCUAGUUUGGACCAACACUCAGAGGAGCACUGUCCUAGGGGGCUUAAUAUAAAGAUGACCCUCGGGCUCGCGAAAAUCCGAGGGAAAAGGUCUUAGGUGGCAAAUGUAAAAACCAAGGUUGGGCCUUGCUGGAAGAGUUUUAUUCAAGGAGAACUGUCAAGGGGUUCCCAUUAUAACCCAACCGCGUAAGGAACGCAAAUCAAGGAACAUAACACCGGUAUGACGGAAACUAGGAUGACAAGAGUGGAACAAAACACCAGGCAUAAGGCCAAGCCUUCCAACCUUUACCAAGUAUAUAGAUGCAUUAAUAUAAAUAAAAUAUAUUGUGAUAUCCCAACAUAUCAAUGUUCCAACAUGGAACAAACUUCAGCUUCACCUGCAACUAGCAACGCUAUAAGAGGGGCUGAGCAAAAGCGGUAACAUAGCCAAACAACGGUUUGCUAGGAAAGGAGGGUUAGAGGCUUGACAUGGCAAUAUGGGAGGCACGAUAAAGCAAAUGGUAGGUAUUGCGGCAUAGCAAUAGAGCGAGCAACUAGCAAGCAAAGAUAGAAGUGAUAUCAAGGGUAUGGUCAUCUUGCCUGAGACCCCGCAAGGAAGAAGAACGAGUCCAUGAAGAAGACAAACGGCGUAGUCGAAUGGAUCCUCACAACUUCGAAAUGAAACCGAAGCUAACGAGAGAAGCAACCCAGAAAGAAGCAAGCAACAAAGUAAACAACCAUCACAUAAACAUGGCAUGAUGCACAACCAAGUAUGAUGCAUGUCCGGUUUAAUGAUUCAUGGCAUGGCAAAGUGCACAAACAAUCCUACAAAUUAAGUGGAGCUCAAUAUGUUGCAUAUUGACGGAACACCACAUGACUUAUUUAGUUCUCUCUUGUCUAGGUACCCAUCAAUAUUAAAUUUUUUUACACAUGGCAAGAGAUUAGGCAUAAUGUAACUACCUAACUAGGCAAGUUUAAAUGAGGCCGGAACAACAAGCAACAAGUCCGGAGAAAACCUCAUGAGCAUAUAUUAGAUUUGGUACUGUUCUGCCCUGAACUCUAUUUUAGAGUUGUUAAACAUGCAAAGUAAGGACACGAUGUUAAACUAGGUAUUUUCCCACCCCAUUUACAUAUAAAGUUUGUUACAAACCGAGUUAUGGUUAAAUAGUUAUGAAAUAAAACAUUUUAGCAUGGCAUUAUGCAAAAUUUUAAAAAACAACAUAUUAAACAUUUCAAACAUGCAUGAAAGUGGCAUAUUAUUAAUCUACACAUAAUUCUAAGCAUUUUUCAUAUAUAACUUAUUCUAAACCGAUGCACGGUUGGCGAGUUAUUAAAUGCAUGUUGCUUGGGGGGGUUUCUACAAAACAGAGUUCUCUGGAAAAAUACUGAAACGUCCAGGAAAAAAGCAUGCGUUGGCCGUAUCUUGCUGGCCCAACAGGAACAGUGGAGGGGCUAGGCGCAUCCUCACCAUGGGCCAUGUCCUAGAUCUCUGUAGGAGGCCUCGUAUGUCUUGGCACUGCUGGGCCGACGCGGUCAACGGGGAAGAGCGGCGAGCGGACUUGACGCACGUGCGUUCCAGGCUGUCGAGGUGUGGCGGCACUGGUGCUUCCAGCGACAAACGAUGGCGGGACGACCACCGGAGGUGGGGCGAGGUCAACGAGAACAGAUUCCCAGCAGUGGGAGGCGGAUCCGGCGAGGCAGUGUCUUGGUGGCGGCGAACUUGACGCGCGGCUCCUGGAUCCGGGCGCGAGCGCGGCUGGCGACGCGACGAAGGAGGCAGCGAAGACAGACCCGGUGUGGGAUGGCACCAGGAGACCAGGACGGGGCACCGGUGAGGAUCCGGCGAGGCAGAGCUCCAUUCAGCGGCCAUGGGGGUCUCCCUGUCCAACAAGCAAGGAGGGAGAGACAUCAUGGGAGAGAGGGAGACCAAGGAGGAAAAGGAAGAACAAGCAUUAGGAGAGGUGAGUGUUGCUGCUGCUAUCGCCGGCGGCAAGCUCUCGCGCAGGCGGAGGCCAUCGGGCACGGGAGUGGCUCGGGGCUGUGCUUGUGGAGGGGGAAACGCCGGGCUGCAGGCAGAGGAGCUGUGGAUCUCGUAGAACAAGGGGAGGAGGCUGUUGGCCCGGUGGAUUUUUGGAUUGUGAGGUGGCUCAGGAUUGGUUCGGUGCUAAAAAUGAGGGGAGGUAGUGGAUGGAGAGGGAUCCCAAUGGAGGGAGUGGCGGCGGCGAGGGGGA